rnacentral:rRNA from 1 species
AGUGAACGCUGGCGGUAGACCUAACACAUGCAAGUCGAACGGCAGCACAGUAAGAGCUUGCUCUUACGGGUGGCGAGUGGCGGACGGGUGAGGAAUACAUCGGAAUCUACUUUUUCGUGGGGGAUAACGUAGGGAAACUUACGCUAAUACCGCAUACGACCUACGGGUGAAAGCAGGGGAUCUUCGGACCUUGCGCGAUUGAAUGAGCCGAUGUCGGAUUAGCUAGUUGGCGGGGUAAAGGCCCACCAAGGCGACGAUCCGUAGCUGGUCUGAGAGGAUGAUCAGCCACACUGGAACUGAGACACGGUCCAGACUCCUACGGGAGGCCGCAGUGGGGAAUAUUGGACAAUGGGCGCAAGCCUGAUCCAGCCAUACCGCGUGGGUGAAGAAGGCCUUCGGGUUGUAAAGCCCUUUUGUUGGGAAAGAAAAGCAGCAGGUUAAUACCCCGCUGUUCUGACGGUACCCAAAGAAUAAGCACCGGCUAACUUCGUG